rnacentral:rRNA from 1 species
GACGAACGCUGGCGGCGUGCUUAACACAUGCAAGUCGAGCGGAAAGGCCCUUUCGGGGGUACUCGAGCGGCGAACGGGUGAGUAACACGUGAGUAAUCUGCCCUGGACUCUGGGAUAGCCACCGGAAACGGUGAUUAAUACCGGAUAUGACACCUUGCUGCAUGGUGGGGUGUGGAAAGUUUUUUCGGUCCAGGAUGUGCUCGCGGCCUAUCAGCUUGUUGGUGAGGUAAUGGCUCCCCAAGGCUUUGACGGGUAGCCGGCCUGAGAGGGUGACCGGUCACACGGGGACUGAGACACGGCCCAGACUCCUACGGGAGGCAGCAGUGGGGAAUAUUGGACAAUGGGCGGAAGCCUGAUCCAGCAACGCCGCGUGAGGGAUGACGGCCUUCGGGUUGUAAACCUCUUUCAGUACCGACGAAGCGAAAGUGACGGUAGGUACAGAAGAAGGACCGGCCAACUACGUGCCAGCAGCCGCCGUAACAC